UGCUGUUCCUGUUUAUGUCGAAUUAUCUCCUAUAAAAUGUUCUUUUUUUUGCUUUAAAUUCCUAAGAAAUACUGGCUAAGAGAUAAAGGAGUUUCCUGUUGAAUGAAAACAUUAGUCACAAUUCAAAAUGUUUCAUUCACUUUCCAGUCCAAACAGUCCACAUACAAUACAUUUUUUUCACUUUUGCAGCCUAAUGUUUAGAUUCUCUGCUCGAGCACAAGCCUGACCAGAUGCCCAACUCAAACUUGGUCCGGGUUAGGUCGAGAUCUCCCACCACUUUCCUCAGGCCACGUCAGGUUGGGGCUCAAGAAAAUGGACUGUAAGGUAGGCCUGCAUUAAUGCUGUUGUUUUAUUUUAGAUAAAGCUAUGGCAUGAUAACCACAAUAUGGCAAAAUAACAAAUAUGACUGUGAUUGUAAAACGUUUGAAUGUAAUAAACACACAGCACAGGAGCUCCUCUACUUUACAUUUUGGAGUUCCCUUCUUAAUUAACAGUUUUUUUAGACAUGUGCUCCCCAAAACCAUUUCAGUCUUUAUAAAUAUAUAACAGAUUAAUUCUUCCACUUUCUCAUCUCCAUAUACUCAACUGGUUUAUGUAAGUAACCUCACUGGAAUCGAAGUGGAACAUGGGAAAUCUGAUGUGGACUUCACCUUACAAGCACCUGCAAAUGAGGGGUACAAUAAUGGAAUAUGGUCAUACACAAGUGACUUAUCACAGCACAGAGGAGGAGGAUUAUGCGGUUCUCGUAAGCACUGUUCUGCCCACUGAAGCAGAAUGCCAUACUACAGUUAGCAGCGUGCUGAACUAACAGUGAUACAAACACUACUUUCCCUAUUACAGGUCAGUGGAUUGUGAUAUUGAAUGUGUAGUUGUAAUGUAAUAAUGUUACCUAUUAUUUAUUUCAAUUUGUGAUAUUUUAGAGAUCUUAUCACAAAGUAGCUAAUGCUUCUGCUGCUAAAUAAUAUUGUUAAUAUUUGUGCUAGAUUAAAUAUUUAAUCUAAUGCUGACAAAGUCACUGGAUUUUCUCUAAAAAGCAUUGGGCAAAACUGACUGCAGCACAAGACUCAAAGCUUAUACCCCUCUAAAUAAUAGAUGGGUAUACAGCACACUAGAAUUGAACUGUGAAACAGUUUCACUGUGUUCUCUGGAAAGAUGCUGUCUAAUACAUUACAUUUAUGUUAAAUUGAGGGUGAGAUAAGGUGGCCAUGAUUCAGGCGGAGCUCACCAACACUCGUGUCUCUAAAUACUAUUAAUUCCUUACAGCAAUGGUCAGCAGGGACAGUGACACCAAUAAAAGCAUAAUGAACUCUUGAUUUUUCA
rnacentral:lncRNA from 1 species